UACGUAGGGUGCAAGCGUUAAUCGGAAUUACUGGGCGUAAAGCGUGCGCAGGCGGUUGUGCAAGACAGAUGUGAAAUCCCCGGGCUCAACCUGGGAAUUGCAUUUGUGACUGCACGGCUAGAGUGUGUCAGAGGGGGGUAGAAUUCCACGUGUAGCAGUGAAAUGCGUAGAGAUGUGGAGGAAUACCGAUGGCGAAGGCAGCCCC
rnacentral:rRNA from 1 species